rnacentral:rRNA from 1 species
UACGUAGGGUGCGAGCGUUGUCCGGAAUUAUUGGGCGUAAAGAGCUCGUAGGCGGUUUGUCGCGUCUGCUGUGAAAACCUGAGGCUCAACCUCGAGCUGUCGGUGGAAACCGCGUGGCUAGAGUCCGGAAGAGGGGACUGGAAUUCCCGGUGUAGCGGUGGAAUGCGCAGAUAUCGGGAGGAACACCCGUGGCGAAGGCGGGUCCCUGGGACGGUACUGACGCUGAGACGCGAAAGCGUGGGGAGCGAACAGG